UUGCAACAUUUUUUUCACAUUUAACGACGAUCACAUUCAUUUUACGGUCGAAAUGUGCGAAUUAUGUAGACGGAACCAUCCGGACAGAACCGUUCACACACAAACCGAUGGAUGGAUGGCUGACUAGACAAUUUCAUACUGUUAAAAACGGUCCUAGGUCACCCAUUGUUUUGUUUUCCGGGCCAUAAAAGAUAAAUCCAUUUUUAUUCAUCGUAAAGAGAAACAGAAAGAAAAAAUUGUGUCGGCCAAAUGUAUAAAAAUGCCUUUGUUCAAAAGUGACAUUGAAAUCAGUUGCAUAUAUGAUUUUUUUUUAUGAAGAAAUUCUAUUUUUCGCCAGAAUUUCUGCUUUACAGCACGUUUUUAAAUGCUUGUAUCUCGCCGUAACGAUUUUUUCGUCAUUGUUUUUUUACCUUUGACUUUAAAUUUUCUUCUUUGUUUUUAGACUUUUCGUAAUUUGAUCGCGUGUAGUAUUUGUGGUGGGCAGCAACUUUUGCACGUCUCAUCAAUAAUUACACAAUGAACACACAUCAUGUUGCCACACAGUGACAAUGAAUGGUUGGGGCGUCGACAAAGGCUACUGCGACAGCGAUAUACUGACGGAAAUACGAUAAACACGGGAUACAGACGAAAACGGCGACCCUCUGUUCAUCACACUGUUUCGCAAAUGCAAUGGAAUAAAAUAAUUACCUGUUCGGCGAAUUGGAUGCGGUCGGCCAACAAUUUUUGUCCUGCAUCAACCACUUUUUUGUGCCAACAAAAUGCUUGCACACUGUUGGUGCAUUCGCCACAUAAUAGUUUUGUGAAUUUGUCUGUGCUUUUAAUCUGAAACAUAGACCAAACAAACAACAACAAAAUCAAUGAAUUUUUCCACAAAUAAACAUGCAUACAAUGAAUGAACGACAGAUAAUCAUUUUAAAAACGAUACAACUGAAAAUUCAACACCAACAAUUGUAGCAAUCCAUCCAUUCAUCAACACAAACUGUUGAUUCAAAUCAAAAUGCUAUAACGCAAUCAUUUCGGUUGUCAUGCAACCAACGAUGAUGACAGAAGAAAAAUAUAAGCUACAUUGACUUGAACAAACACUAAGUUUAUGGCUUACCUCAACAUUGUAAAAAUCCUUUAUUGCUUCGAGCAGAAUGGGAGCGGUGGUGAUAUCGUUUUCGCCCGUUUUUUUAAAACACAAACGACACGAUGUGCUCAAGUCCGGAAAAAUCAUCAUGCAAAAUUUCGGACGAUAGCCUCUUUACUAAAACAAAAAAAAAAAUCAGAAAUAUCGACAACAACAAAUUUCGUUGGAACACACGAUUCAUUGACAAUCAAACUCAAAAUGGAAAAUGCAAUUGGAUUAUUCGUGUUAUACGUACCCCCAGCAACGGAUGUUUGAAUCCGUGAAUUGAAUACCGUGGAAGCAACAAUUGAGAAAGAGUUUGAUGGUUAAUUUAUGCUGAAUUACACGCUGGAUGCAUUUAAAAGAUGUACGAAAAACCGUUCGAUUUUCGUGGUCAUUUAAAAAAAUGGCUACUAAUUGUCAAACACACAAACGUUCUUGUUGUUUGUUGGUCGUUUAUUUUCUCUUAUUCUUCUUUUUCUGUGUCUGUCUCUGUUCUUAUAUUCUGAUUCAAUGCGAUCAGUGUCUCGCUGCUUCGUAUUACGAUGCACUUCUCCACUACACACUCUCUUAGCAACACUUUGGUAUAUAUGCUUUUGUGUGUUUUGUUAUGCUUUGAAUUUUGACAGAAGUGUACGCAUUAUUAUUCUGUUCGCGCCUUUACCAAAAAUCACACCCUAUUGACACGCCAUCUUUUGGAUUUUCAACGCAAUCAUCUCACUGAUCUCACUGCGUAACAAACAGCAUUCCAUCGAACUUAACUAUUUUUGGAAUUUAUUCACAUUACCAACAGAUAUAUUUUUAUUGCAGACCAAUCUCACUCGCGUUCAGGUUACACCCUCUGUCUCUUCAAUAAAUAAACGCAUGCUGCUACGGCGAGCGAUGAUAAUUUAAAUAUUGAUUGAUAUUGGAUUGAUUACGUGAAAUAGAUGAUUUCGUUUCUAUUGCGUAUCAUUUUAUUGUGAUGAUGAAAUAAAACCGGCCUUGAACGACGCACCGGAAUUUUGAACGCAUGAACGUUGAACAAAAUUAUUCUUGGUUUUCUUUGAAUGAAAAGAGGUAGAGCUACAGAAAUCUGAAGAGAUCGAAAAUAAUCCGAACUUGAGAUAAAUACAUUGUUAAAAACAUAUUUUUUGAACGAAAAAAAAUGAGUUCAACGAUAAAUUUUGACGAUAAUGUUUUUUUUUUAUAAUAAACUGUGAAAACGGAUUUUCGACAGUAGAAUAAAUAUAUGAAUGAGUAAAGAAAUGGAAUUUUAUUUUAUCGUAUUAGGGCUUCAUUUGACUUGCAGUAUCUAAUAAAAUGUUGAUAAGCUAUCCGAAA